AUUGAACGCUGGCGGUAGGCCUAACACAUGCAAGUCGAACGCGAAAGUCCUGGAUGAGUAGAGUGGCGGACGGGUGAGUAACGCGUAGGAAUCUAUCCUGUAGUGGGGGAUAACGUUUCGAAAGGAACGCUAAUACCGCAUACACCCCAAGGGGGAAAGCGGGGGAUCUUCGGACCUCGUGCUAUAGGAGGAGCCUGCGUCGGAUUAGCUAGUUGGUGAGGUAAAGGCUCACCAAGGCGACGAUCCGUAGCUGGUCUGAGAGGAUGAUCAGCCACACUGGGACUGAGACACGGCCCAGACUCCUACGGGAGGCAGCAGUAGGGAAUAUUGCACAAUGGGCGAAAGCCUGAUCCAGCAAUGCCGCGUGAGUGAUGAAGGCC
rnacentral:rRNA from 1 species